ensembl:lncRNA
GUCAGUUCUUCAUGGUGGACAAAGGGAUACAAAACCUAUUCCGUUCUGACUCUCCACAGCAGUACCAGGCCCCAGCCCAGCCACCACCUCCAGCCUCUCCUCCCGUCGUCUCCCCCCCAGAGGGUGACCACCACCUAGCCCUGCGAGCCUCCGACGGACCCCUGCCCGGCUCCUUCCCCUACUCCUCUGCCACUCAUCUCAAACGUCUCCACACCGCCCCCAUCUGCUCCUCCAACACAGAGACAGAGACAGCCCAGCAAGAGCCACCGGGCCUGGGCAGGCCCUCCAUCGCCUGCUCCCUGGGAUCCAACCGUCCAGCCGACGACCAGGAACAAACCCAAGACGACGCGGUCUCCUCCAGCACUGACCCCCAGGGGAGCACUGUGGACCCCCACCUCCAGACCCACCCUUACAGAGUCAGACCCCGAGCCCACCGACGAGGGCCUCCGUCGGGGAAGAUCAGCUCGCCCUGCCUGGAGAGGCUGCUCCAGUCCAAGGAGAGCAUCAUCUCACCCAGAAACAUGGGAGGUCAGAGUCCGGGAGGUGGUGGGGAGAGCAUCAUCUCACCCAGAAACAUGGGAGGUCAGAGUCCGGGAGGUGGUGGGGAGAGCAUCAUCUCACCCAGAAACAUGGGAGGUCAGAGUCCGGGAGGUGGUGGGGAGAGCAUCAUCUCACCCAGAAACAUGGGAGGUCAGAGUCCGGGAGGUGGUGGGGAGAGCAGCCGUUCGUAACAGCUAGACUCAGACAUGGUCCAUGGAGGAGAUAAGGACUGAUCUGGGCACAGAGUUGACCCGGGAGACACUGAGCUGUAUCUUUCCACAACAGGCUCCCCAAUACAGCAGGGGGCAAAGGUCGGUGUCUGAGCGGGACGCUGUCUCUUUAAGAGCUGUGUGUCAUGUGAUCCAUCAUGUGAUCCAACUACGGUUGGUUUAUCUGCAGUAAGACACUGAGACAUGGAGGAGACAUAUUAUAGACCUGCAGUAAGACACAGAGACAUGGAGGAGAGGAGACAUAUUAUAGACCUGCAGUAAGACACUGAGACAUGGAGGAGACAUAUUAUAGACCUGCAGUAAGACACAGAGACAUGGAGGAGACAUAUUAUAGACCUGCAGUAAGACACAGAGACAUGGAGGAGACAUAUUAUAGACCUGCAGUAAGACACAGAGACAUGGAGGAGACAUAUUAUAGACCUGCAGUAAGACACAGAGACAUGGAGGAGACAUAUUAUAGACCUGCAGUAAGACACAGAGACAUGGAGGUGAGGAGACAUAUUAUAGACCUGCAGUAAGACACAGAGACAUGGAGGAGACAUAUUAUAGACCUGCAGUAAGACACUGAGACAUGGAGGAGAGGAGACAUAUUAUAGACCUGCAGUAAGACACAGAGACAUGGAGGAGAGGAGACAUAUUAUAGACCUGCAGUAAGACACUGAGACAUGGAGGAG